GGGGGGGCUUCCCCGGUCUCCUGUCUCUCUACUCCAUUCAUAACGCUGUGAGGGAGACGCAGGCCAUGUACAGUAUGCUGAGACAGCCGUUAAAGCGCGGCUCUGAGGGGUCCUGAGGAAUGGCAUAACAUGGAGGUCACCUCCAUAACUGACUAUAUGCCCCCCGUCUCUUUCCUCCAGGAGGUCAACUCCAUAACUGACUAUAUGCCCCCCCCCCGUCUCUUUCCUCCAGGAGGUCACCUCCAUAACUGACUAUAUGCCCCCCCCGUCUCUUUCCUCCAGGAGGUCACCUCCAUAACUGACUAUAUGCCCCCCCCCCC
rnacentral:lncRNA from 1 species